rnacentral:lncRNA from 1 species
GACAUAAAAACGUUAGAUGAUUCAAAAAGUUACACAGAAUUCUUGAGAUUUUUUAAAACUGGAUGAAUGCAGGAAAGAAGUGACAAUGAGUUAUACAAGGUAGGGCUAUUUUAUAAAUUUUUUCUGUAGUUUAUUUUUUAUGUUUUAAGUUUUCUGACAUAAGGAAAAUUAACUAUUUCAAAGAUAAUAUGCGUAAUAUUAUAGCAUAUUAUAGAACAUCGAAUGAGCAAUUGAUGAUGACAGGACUUAAUUAUGUAAUAUUAAUAUUUUAAUGCAGAAAUGAUGAUAUAAUUAGUACUUGAGGUUAACAGCAUUCCAAUCGUGUAAUGUUUCGGUUUUGUAUAUAAUAUAUAUAGCGUUAGGUAUUUUGCUUACAGUAAAACUGCAGAAGUGCAAUAAAAAGCCCUGAUGAAUUUUUUUUGCACCAUUUCGAUUUCCCAUCUCACUUUAGAUCUAGAAUUCUUACGAUACCUUCAAAGUGGUGCUUAAAGCUUCGUGCAAAACCAUUCCUGUGUUGAAGCAUUUUUCAAAACAAAUGUUGGAAUCAUUAUUAACUUUUAUUUUCAAUCAACUUAUUUGUAAACUCAUUUCCUUCAAAAUACGAGUUCUUAAAGAUUUUAAAUUAAUAUUUGUUCAGUCAUGAUUCGUUCCCUGUAUGCGUGUUCAGUUUUGGAUAAUACACUGCUACUGCAUUUCUAUCAAAUACAUGAACCAUUUAGAAAAGAUACAUGCAUGUGUAAUAGGAAAAGUUUAAAGAAAAUCAUUUAUUUGAAAGAAAACAGCGAUUACUUUUUUCUUUGGUUUGCCUGUAUUAUUAAGAGAAUCUAUAAUCUUAAAUUGAUUUGGCCACUGUGUUCAGGCAAUUUGGUUAUACUUCAUACUUAACUUGACUGGUAAAAACUGGAUGACGAAUUGUAUUGGUGACAAAACAUUGAACAGUCUUUCUCUCAUGGCGCAUUCCUUCCUAUAUGAUUUAACCUACAACUAUCAAACAAAUCAUGCCUGUUUUGGUCUUAAAUAUGAUAUUCAUUCCCAAUAUAAUACGGAAGUUAGCCUAAGGGAUUAUUUCUGUCCAUGUUUGACAUACGAAAGUAUGGUUACCCUAUAAAGGGUGUAAAGAUCCAGAAAAGAAUAAGAAGUUUGUCACCUAAUUUUGCUUACAUUUAUACGAUGAAUAUUGAUACACUUCUAGAUUAUUUUCGUACAAAGCAAUUUGAGUAUACAUGCUCUAGAUCUCUUACAUUUUGUUUUAAAAAAACACUACAGGCAAUGAUCUGCAAUGCGUCUUCGUAGCUAAUAUGAUCUGCAUGAGGUAGGCAAACAAAAUUUGAUUAAUCAUUUAAUGGAGAUAUGCAGAUGUCGAAGUUCUAUAACAACCAGGUGCUACAAGAGUAGCGCAUGUGAUCUUAUUUUAUGUUUCGAAUUAUCUCAAUUGCGAGUAAAAUCAAACACCUAAGGUGUGUUAGGAACUGCCAGAAACAGAUACUUGAAUUUAGCAUUUGUUUCUUCAAGGUCCUUCAAAAAAAUGCAUAAUUCAAGUAUCUAUUCCUGGUAGUUCGUCACACACAUUAGAAAUAAAUGAAAAACUUCAAGUACUUUGGUAUCUGGUAAGUAGCGUCUUAAAUCACUUGUGAAAGGUAAUCAAGAUACUGUACAAAUGUGCAACCAUGCUUUGAAUUUGUAAAUGGUGCUUUCCUGAACAACUAAUUGAAUAUUAUAAUAGAAUACGUUUUUAUUUGUUUAAGGCUUGAAGUAAUGGAACUUAUUGUUCUGCAAACAUCUCAAAUUGACAUUUUUACAUAAAUAGUUUUGGAAUUGUGUAUGCAAGGUUUUCAGGAGGUACAUUAAUAACGAAUAUUGCACUUGUAGAUGGAGGGAUACACUAACGUUCAAGUACAAGAAUUCCACCGAAGCAUUUCAUAGACUUUAUAUCCAUGUAUAAUGACAAUUGAAGACAACAGAUUUUAAACAAACAAACCUUUAACGCUUGCUUAAACCUGAACGCGAGGAAAGGCUGUUUCCCGG